rnacentral:lncRNA from 1 species
ACUGAUUCCUUAUCCAACAUCACUUUCUGGACUACCUAGAAUCCAACUAUCAUGUUUUCACCAAGAUGUCAUCUUGUGGGCUAGUCCGUUGGACCUACUUGACCACUCAGACACUAUCCUAAUCUCCAUAAUGUGAUACCUCCUGAGAGGCAGCCAUUUGACACAGACACCUUUCUCAGUUUGCUCAGGCUCCAACGCCAUGAUCUGCCAUGCAACUCUCUCCACAGUCUCCAUCAUGGAUACCUGCCUUUUAUUCCAACACCUAAUGUUUUAGUAUUAAAUCAUUCCAUAUGAUAAGAGUAGAGAGGUGAAAGAGGAAGACUCAUUCAACGGAAG